GGUUACAGGAAAGAGGAAUUAUACGACGAAGGAUAAAUAGUGGCGAAAGGCAACAUGUUCUUGGCAGAGAAAUUGCUUUUGGAAGACAUGUUGCUUUUGACAGACGACCAUCGAUUUAUAAUAGACGACCAUCGUAUAGCAAACUACGAGUUUAUAGCAGACAACCAGCUUAUAAAAGACGAUGGCAUCGAAGACCAAGCCAAGGAUAGCAUAAACGAACUACUGAUAUUGCAAGACAUCUGCUGGAAUAGGCAUUGUUCUAUGCAAUUGAUAAAUAAAAGCAAGAAAGAAG